rnacentral:rRNA from 1 species
CCUACGGGAGGCUGCAGCCGCGGUAAUACGUAGGGUCCAAGCGUUAAUCGGAAUUACUGGGCGUAAAGCGUGCGCAGGCGGUUGUGCAAGACCGAUGUGAAAUCCCCGAGCUUAACUUGGGAAUUGCAUUGGUGACUGCACGGCUAGAGUGUGUCAGAGGGGGGUAGAAUUCCACGUGUAGCAGUGAAAUGCGUAGAGAUGUGGAGGAAUACCGAUGGCGAAGGCAGCCCCCUGGGAUAGCACUGACGCUCAUGCACGAAAGCGUGGGGAGCAAACAGGAUUAGAUACCCUAGUAGUC